ensembl:ncRNA C08C3.10 ncRNA
AAUAUUUAAGAAAUGUAUAGCAACAGUUGACUGAAACUCAAAUGAAGUUGGUUAGAAGUUAAAUUGAAAGUUUUGAAUUCUACUCCAUAG